rnacentral:rRNA from 1 species
UACAGAGGGUGCAAACGUUGUUCGGAAUUACUGGGCGUAAAGCGCGUGUAGGCGGCUUCGAAAGUCGGAUGUGAAAUCCCGCGGCUCAACCGUGGAAGUGCACUCGAUACUGCGAAGCUAGAGUCCUGGAGAGGAAGGUGGAAUGCUUGGUGUAGAGGUGAAAUUCGUAGAUAUCAAGCGGAACACCGGUGGCGAAGGCGGCCUUCUGGACAGUGACUGACGCUGAGACGCGAAAGCGUGGGGAGCAAACAGG